rnacentral:rRNA from 1 species
GGAUUAGAUACCCUGGUAGUCCACGCCGUAAACGAUGAGAACUAGAUGUUGGGAGGGUUGCCUCUCGGUGUCGCAGCUAACGCGUUAAGUUCUCCGCCUGGGGAGUACGCCGGCAACGGUAAAACUCAAAGGAAUUGACGGGGACCCGCACAAGCGGUGGAGCAUGUGGUUUAAUUCGAUGCAACGCGAAGAACCUUACCUGCCCUUGACAUACUCGGAACUUUCCAGAGAUGGAUUGGUGCCUUCGGGAAUCGAGAUACAGGUGCUGCAUGGCUGUCGUCAGCUCGUGCCG